UAAGCUUUUCAAUUUUCAUAUCACUUACCACAGAAUGAGGUGGUGGCCAGUCGACUUCUCUCCAGGGGAGGGGCCCAUUUGGCCCACAUCCCAUGGCAUGCAGGAGUCUCAAGGAAGGAGAUCAUUAGCAGUGGGAAGGCCUAACCUGUUGGCGGCCAGCUUGUUGGAGAUGAAGCCUCCAGGGAUCUGUGUGACGAUGUAACCCCAGAAGAAGGAGCCAUGGAUCAGUCCCACAGUCUCUGGGUCCCAGUUGAAUUGAGCUGGCUGGGGAACAGAGUAAUAUAAUAUAGGGUAUUUAACUGGUUACGAGUUCUUUCACAGAAAAAAAAGUGUCUGUGUGUGUUGGUGCGUGAGUGUGUGUGCGUGCAUGCGUGUGAGUGUGUGUGUGUCGGGUGCUAUUGUGUUGUUAGAGAUUGAAAAUAGAGCCAGAGGACUGUUUGGGUGAUUCUGCUGUCCUUCAGAACAACGCUUGAACUUUUCCAUCCGAAUAUCAGCUGUUGAAUUACAAUGCUACUAUAAUAAAACAUAAAACAACA